GCCUUCGAACGUGGUCCCUUUGCCGGCCGGCUUGCAGCCACGCUAAACAAAUUGCUAAAAGGCCGCUCGCCCUCUCUC
rnacentral:ncRNA from 2 species